ACGUGCAUCCUACAACAUCUAAUUUACUUUUAAAAUUGAAAUGGUUGAUGUGUGGGAUUAAAUUAUUCUAUCAACUUCAAAAUUGCCCCAAUUCAAUGAUGCCACUUGUUUUUCUUAUAAAUAACACAACACAUGGAAUGCAUGUUGCACAAUUGGUGAGAAGUAAGACUAAAAUCAUAUCAAAGAUCGAUCUGCGCCAGCAAAUACAUGCGCUACGGCUACAUGCAUCAAGAAGUGAACAAUUAUAUCUUGGGUGAAGGGCAUCUCAAAUUCGUUAGAAGUAGAACGGGCCCUAAAAACAUAUUUGGGCCGUGAGGAUCAUGGCAGCCCAGCAAAGAAUUGCUUGCUGCUGUCCGGAAAAAGAAAGGCUCAGGCCAGGCUGCACGGGGCAGCCCAUGCAAGUAAGAAAGCUGCAAUUGCAUCAUGGAAGUGGGCCAAGGGGAAGAGGGGGCCCAGCAACACAGAAGGCUGUUGGAGGCGGGCCAAUGGUUUGUGGGCCGAGGCUCCGGAUAAGCCCAGCAUAUGCUGGCUUUGGUUUUGCGCUAGAAGCCCAGCGACGUUGGCAUCUUGGGAUGAGAUGCGGGCAUGAAGCCCAGCAUGAAAGACUCAGGCAAUGUCCAAUACAAGAGCAGCAAGCCCAAACAGAGGCUGCUGAUGCAGGACAGAAGUCGUCAGUGUCACUGGCUCAAUCGCAAUUUUCCCCAAAAUUUUGUAUUUUGUUUUUUUUUUUUUUCAAAUUCUAGGGUUUGGAGAAAGAGAAAUUUAACGAAAAGCUCUCGUUACUGUUCACUUUAACGAAAAACUACAUUUUUACACUAAAAAGUCAAUCCUGGUAUUAUUCGCUUUACCCUUUAUUUUGUUAUUAUCGUUAAAACUCAAAGUUUACAAUCCAUUUUCAUUAAUUUUCUUUUGAAAAAACCCAAAAGUGCUUCUAUUUUCUUUCGAUUCUUUGACUCACAAGUUCCACAUAGCGAUUUAUAAUUGCGUAUUGCAUGAACAAGUAUAUAUAUUGACAAAAUAUAUGAACAUCUAUACAAUAUAUACAUAUAUAUAUAUAUAAUAUAUAAAUGUAGGGGGUUCAUGCAUCAUGGAAAAUAUUUUCAUGCUUCAAAAGCGUUUCAAAUAUCUUACUUUAUUUAAACGUACCUGAUUGGCAAAAGACAACAAAAACCCUUGAAUUUGUAGAAUAUCCAUCUCAGAAAGCCGGAAUUGCAUCUCCAAUGCGUUGUAUGACGUCCAACACAGAAAAAUUAAAAGGAAAAUUAAUGAAAAGGACUUGAAAACUUUGAGUUUUAACGAUAGUGACAAAAUAAAGGGUAAAGUAAAUAGUACCAUGAUUGACUUUUUAGUAUAAAAAUGUGGUUUUUCAUUAAACUGAACAGUACUGUGGGCUUUUCGUUAAAACUUCCAAAAUUAAAUUGAAUCAAUAGCAUGUAGAUUAAUUUAAUAAAAGAAUUAAUCAUAAAAAAUUAAUGAUUAAAAUGUAAUACUCCCUGAUGGAAAAAUAAACUAUCUUUAGCACAACAUCAAGAGCGUGUUGAUAACAUGUUGUAGGCAUAAUUUACUGAACAAUCAUGGAGGCCAUAGAGAGAGGGAGAGAGUGCAGCAUAGAGAGAGAAGAAAGAUGUGUAAUUGUGAUAUGUGUUCUAUUUCACCGCAUUGUACCUUUAUUUAUAGUAGUAGGAAAUGUUAAUUUCUUACCCUUUUAGAAUUACAACUCUUAAUAGGUAAUCAACUUCUAAUAUGAAUAUAAGAGAUAUUUCAAGAUAUACUAGGAUUUACAUAAUCACAUUCAUAAUCCAAUAAAACUGCAACACAUGUAACAAUUUCCUAUUAUUAAUAUCCCAUCCAAAACCAUGUGGGACCCCAUCAUGUGUGCCUCGACAAGAUUUUUCCUUUUUUAAUUCUAUUAUUAUAUUCUUGAGCCAUUCAACUAAGAGAUUUUUCAAAGUAUUUGAACACGGAAUAGUAUACAAAGUGUCAUUAUACGAGUUGUGAGAUAGUGCUAAAAAAUUCACAACUUAAAAAAUAAAAACUCCGUCUCCUUACAUAAUAAUACGUACUGUAUUAUCCGUAUUUCAGACACAAUGAAAAUAUUUUUCCAUUCAACCAUGUCUUUUAUCUUCUAGAGAUGUGAAUGAGUUGUGACUUUCAGCCAUUCAACAAAAUCUGUCACUUCAGAAAGCUCAAAAUUUGAAAAUUCUUCUAAUUGAAAAAUUGAGUAGUCUUAUUCAAAAGUUGAGCGAUCCCAACUUGUGGUCGUCAAUUAGUUCACAACCAACAUGUGUCAAAAAUAACAGAAAUCCUAUAUAGACUAUUUCAAAGUAGAACUCGCUAUAAAUUUUUCGCCAUUUUAUGUUUUUGACAUAAUUUUAGUGCUAACAUUAUAAAAUGUUAUACCAAAAAAAAAAGGUGACGGAGUGUUUCACUUUGAAAGAAUCCAACUUUAAAAAAGUCUACUUAGCAUUUAUCUAAAAAUAAUAACAAAUUUAUAUCUUAAUGAAGAUCACAAAUUAAAACUAGUCAAUGAGCAAAGAUCACGAGUUAAAGACUAGUUCUGCCAUAAAUGCAAAGGAGAUUUUCUCAAAAGUAAGACUUUUUAUAAACUAUCUGUCAUCUUAUUUUUGUGGCACAAUUCUAGUGCUAACAUUAUAAAAUAAUGUGUCAAAAACAUGAAGUAACAGAGUACAUAAAGUUUUACUUUGAGAUGGUUUAUUUAGUAUUUCUCCUAGUUAUGAUUACUCGUCAACCUACUCGACUUAGGUCUCCAUUAUUAUAAGAAAAAAGUCAUAAAAAUAAUAAUUUUAUUUCAAAACACAUACAUUUUUGUCUUUAUUUGUACUUGAACUUUUUCGUCUAAUAAUAAAUUCUUUCUUUAAAAUUAAAAUGUUUUUGUCACUUAAUAUUACGGUUUAGUGAUAUUCAUUUUCACUUAUAAGUAAGAAGUAUUAGGUUCGAUUCUCACCAUAAGUGAAUUUGAACCAUAUUAUUGCUAGUCCAUUAUUAAGCUAAAUCUACCCGCUCUCUUUAGUGUAGAUAAUAUCGUUAGUCCAAAAAAAAAAAAAACUAAAGUGGUCUUAGUACAUACGAUCAACUAUGCAAAUUCUCUUGUGUAAUGAUAAGUAGUACGUUCACUUUCCAAUAUCAAAGCUUCAUACUUUUGAUUACAACCUGGGUUGCAAAGGCUCUUAAUUAAUUGAGCUAACACUAAAUGGUUUGCUAAUUCGCUAAGUAUAGAAGCUCUAUGUAACAAAGCAAGUGGAGAAAGAAAAAAUACAGUAAUUUUAAGUGAUUCAAAUUCAGUCCAAUCAUUACGUAUUUGAUUGUCAGGAUCAAGCUGUCAAUUUUCCACUUGACAUGGUUUAAGUUGUAAGGAAUUACAGCAGGGACGAGAGGUUGAAUAAUUCAAAGUUCUGUUUUUCAGGCUCGAGAUGCAAUAUGGAUUGGUGGUUCUGCUACCACUAGGUCUUCAGACCUCUACAAAAUUAGUCUUAGUUCUUGUUAAGGGGGGUCAAUUCUUGCUUUUCUAUACAUGGAAUAUUCAUACAAAAAGUCUAGGAAGAUGUGAACAUUUAGAUUAAGGUGACGUAUUUUAAUUGGACAGACAAUUAAGGUGCACUAAAUUGUUGUUUAUGAUACACGAUUUAUUAUUUGUUUAACCAUUACUAGUUCUAUUCCAUAAUUGGUAUUCGUAAAUGUUUCUUUUAUGCAUAUGAAUCCAAAGAUCUCUUGCUAAAUGCUCUCUAACUACGUUUAGAAGAACAUAAAUUUUUUCAUGUCAUAAAACUGUUUUAUAGACAAACGCAGGUUAGAUGACCCUUUUAAAUGCAGUUUCAAUUAAUUUUUCAGCAAGUACAUGAAAUUUUAAUAAAAAAAAUUUACUACAUUCUUUUUUCUUUUUCUUUUUCUUUUUUGAAAAAAAUUUACUACAUUCUUAUGUUUAUAACAAAAACAAUUGUAACAUACACUAUGCUUAUUAACUAAAGUGCAUUCUACGAAUGCAUGCCCUUUACGAUAACAGAUCUAAGCAUAACAUUCCCCAUAAUUACUAACCACGGCCACAUCAUAAUUAUAAACCAAGUUCUUUAACUACAUUAAUAUAUUAGAAAUGUUAUUAACACUAUAAAAAAUUCAUUUAUUAACACUAUAAAAAUUUCAUACUACACUCUUCACAAUUAUAUUAUUUUCAAUUAUAAAAAAUUUAGAGUGCAAAUUAGAUUUUUAAAAUGCAUAUAACAAUUGCCUACUAUUAAUAUCCAAUCGAAAACCAUGUGGGACCCCAUCAUGUGUGCCUCGACAAGAUUUUUCGUUUUUUUAAUUCUAUUAUUGUAUUUAGAGCCAUUCAGCCAAGAGAUUUUUCAAAUUAUUUGAAGAUGGAGUAGUAUAUCAAGUAUUAUUAUAUGAGUAGUAAGAUAAUAUUAAAAAAUUCACAACUUAAAAAAUAAAAACUCCGUCUCCUUACAUAAUAAUACGUACUGUAUUUUUCGUAUUUCAGACACAAUGAAAAUAUUUUUCUUUUCAAUCAUGUCUUUAUCUUCAAGAGAUGUGACUGAGUUGUGACUUUCAGUCAUUCAACAUCUGUCUCUUCAGAAAGGUAAAAAAUUGAAAAUUCUUCUAAUUGAAAAUUUGUGUAGUCUUAUUCAAAAGUUGAGCCAUCCCAAUUUGUGGUCGUCAAUUAGUUCACAACCAACAUGUGUUAAAAAUAACAGAAAUUCUAGAGAGACUUUUUGGAAGUAGAACCCUUUAUAAAUUUUUUGUCAUUUUAUAUUUUUACACAAUUUUGAUGCUAAUAUUAUAAAAUAUUAUGUCAAAAAAUAAGAUAGAGAAAAGUUUCACUUUGAGAGAGUCCAACUUUAAAAAAGUCUACUUAGCAUUUUUCUAAAAAUAAUAUAAAUUUAUAUAAAGACUAGUUAUGUCAUAAAUGUUAAGGAGACUCUCUCAAAAGUGAGAUUAUUUAUCGACUCUCUGUCAUCUCUAUUUUGUGGCACAAUUCUCGUAUCAACAUUAUAAAAUAAUGUGUCAAAAUUAUAAAGUGACAAAAUCUAUAAAGAGUUUUACUUUAAAAUAAUCUCUUUAGCAUUUUUCCUGGUUCAAAUUGCUCGUCAACCUCUACUCGACUUAUGUCUCCAUUAUUGUAAGAAAAAAGUCAUAAAAAUAAUAAUUUUAAUUCAAAAUGUGUACUUUUGUGUCUUUAUUUCUACUUGAACAUUUUCGUCUACUAAUAUAUUCUUUCUUUAAAACUAAAGUGGUUUUGUCAAUUAGUACUAUGGUAUAGUAGUAUUAAUCUUCACUUAUAAGUAGAAUAUCCUAGGUUUAAUUCUCACUAUAGACGAAUUUGAACCAUGUUAUUGCUAGCUCAUUAUGAGGGUGAGUCCACCCCCUCUCUUUAGUGUAGAUAAUAUCGUUAGUCCAAAAAAAAUAACUAAUGUGGUCUAAGUUUGAGUAAACAAAUCAUAAAAGGUGGGGAAAAAGUGUACUUAGAGCUUCUCACACACUCUUCUUUCUUUUUAGUCAUUAGAUUGAAUAAGUCAAACAAAAUCAACGGCUAAAAUUAAAAAAAGAGUGUAUACGAGACUAAAAAUAACGUGUGUUAAUUAUUUUUUAUAAAAAAAAACACAAGGGUCUGUGUUGGGAAAUUGAAAUAUGGCCAUUUUAAAGAGCACUUAUUUAGAUAUCAAAAAUGCAAAUCUUAUUACAUUUUUCAUGUCAUAUUUGUAUUAUCUUUCUAAUAUAUAUAUGAUCCACAUGUGUUGAUAGACCUUACCACUACUAAAAAUGUGAUACAAACGUAGUACAAAAAAUUUGAUAAGUAUAACAUUACUCAUGAUCAUAAAGAUAAUAACAAUAACAAUUCAAAAGACAAAAGAAAAACAAAGGCAAAACGAGGCUGAAAGUUCCAAGGGAAGCAAUCAUGGUGCCUUUGGUGAAAGCUUCUAGAGUGAGGAAAGGUUCAUAGCCGCAAGCGACCGGCUUUCAAAAUAGCGUAUUUGGACGGAUGUUUUUCGAUAAACUAUCUUACUUAAAUGAAGAAAGAGAGAACUCUUCUUUAUGUACAAAAUUUUCAGUCCAAUCCUUUUCUUUGUACCAGAAGAGUGUGCAAGGAAGAAAUCAAAGCCGCCCGUUCGUUGUCCCUUAUGUAUGAUGGCCCAACAGAAACAUGGCAUGUAUAUGUAUGUAUAUAUGUGCUGUUUUGAAAAACAGGGCAUGAAUAGCUGAUUUUUCAAUACAGAGUCCAUAUCAUGCAUCCCAGAAUCCCAUGCUACAUAUAUUUCUACAUGUACGUAUGUAAGUUAUAUAUACCCAUGCAUGCAUAGCCUUCAGGCGGAUAAAUUAUUAUGUGAUACUGUAGCACUGCCAGCUAGCAGCGUCGAGUGUUGUUACCGAUCCACUAGAAAUUCGACACGUGUACAACUAAAAUACAUCAACUUCUGCCGUUAAUGCCCAAUUACAAUUACAAACCACCCUGCCUGGUUCAAGCAACUCCAUGCGAUUACAAAUAAGGACGAGAGAGUGAAUUAGGGUUUAUGGUUGAAUUGGUUGCGCACUAGUACUGCUUGGUAUUGAAAAGGAUCAAGAACGAUGAAUUAGUUUCUCAACGAAGGCUGUUUGUUUAAGCAGGAAACUAGAUCGAUAAAAGUUGUGGAGCCCCAAAGGUUCUGAUACCAAACCAAGACAAAAAGAACAAAAAGAUAGGAAUUUCGUGAAUUUUAUCAGCGGAUAAUUACACAGACAGCACCUUUUAAUACAACAAACACGCUGCACCCAGAUUUACAAGCGGCAGGUUAGCUUCCAAUAACUUCCUUCGCCACGAAAUUUUUUUUAUUGUGACUGAAAUAUAAGUGAUAUACUAUGUGUUAUAAUAAAAGUAUAAUAAAAGUCAUGAGAUUUUUUUUUUAAAAUUAUUAACUUUUUAGCACUCAUAUCCUACAAUUUGUAUAAUAACACGUGUUGUACCAUCUCGUGUAUCAAUUACACUGAAAAAUCUCUCCUCCGCCACCUCCAUUUUCAAUUAGAUAGAUUUUCUCCCAUCUUCAAGCGCUGCUCACAAAAUUGAAAUCAAGUGCGGCGGUGGCCAUUUCUGUCGCAAUGAUUUCUUAUUGUUAUUAUUAUAUAUAAAUGAACACAAAUUGCAAAUUAAAAAAAACAGAGAAUACUUAAGGUCUAUUUGGUACUCUACUUGAAUUCAACUUUUUAAACUCAAAAAUAAUUUUAAGUUUUAGGCUUUAAAAACUUGUUUGACAUGAUUAUUUUAAAAAACUGAACACUACCUAAAAAAUAUAGUUUAUUCUUUAAAAACAUAAAAGUUAGUUUUUAAAGUUUUUUAACUUAAACUCAUUUAUUUUUUUCCCCUCCUCCUCUCUCUCACUCAAAUCUCUAUUUUCUUCUUUAUCUCUCCUCUUUUUUUUUUCUUUUUUUUUUGACAUUUUUCGUUUCUUCCAAUCCACUCUCUUCAUUCUCUUGGUUCUUUCUCUCACUCACUCCUCUUCCUCUCCAUUUCGUCCAAUCAUUUCUCUUCUUUUUCUUUCCUUUAAUCAUCUUUUACUUUCUUUCCCAUUCUCUCCUCCGACCCUCUUUUUUUAGAUCUCUUUGUUUAUAAGUUGUAGGAUUUAAAAUUUUUAAAUCGCAAACCAAUCAAGUUUUUUGUCUUAAAGAAAAUUGUUUUGAAAAAUGAUAGAAAAUUUCAAAUAGGAUUCCAAACAAACCCUUAGCGAUCUGAGUCUUUACCAUUGUCAGAAUAAUUUAACACUGUCUUUAGUAUGUAACUGGACGUUAACAGCAGAAGCUAAGUUGUUUUAGUUGUACACGUGUCAAAAUUUUAGUGAUGAAUAUCACCACUCAAAACUGCGAGCUGCUGCUACAGUACCACAUAAUAACGUGGGCGUGGUGAAAAUUUUCCAUCACUGAUGACGAUUGUCCCAUCAUUUAAUUAAGUGAUCACUUGAAUAGGUCUGCCCAAUCAAGAUAGUAUUGCACCACUAAUUAAUUAGGAUUCUCUCAUUUCCUCUUUUUAUCUCUUUUCAUCUCUUACUCUCACGAUUUUUAUUUUGUCUUUCUAUUUUUAUAAAAAAUGUAAUAUAAGAUAUUGACGUAAUUUAAAUGUGACUGUUCAGAAAAGAGAAGAGGAAAUGAGAGAAAAAAAAAAGAAAAGAGAAUUCUACUUCCCACGAAUUGGCUCGUCCUAAUCCUAAACCAGAUUUACCACCUUGGUUGGGCCCACCAAACUCUCUCCCCAACCCACCACCAGGAUUAACCUUAAAAAUUUCAGGAUCCUGUGCGGGUGCACCUCUUGCACUCUCUCAGGGUCGGCACUAGCACCAGCUGCUAGCUAGCAGUCCCGAGUGCUGUUACUGAUCCACUAAAAUUUGACACGUGCACAACUAAAAUACGUCAACUUCUGUUGUUAACGCCCAGUUACAAUUACAAACCACCCUACCGGGUUCAAGCAACUCCAUGCGAUUACAAAUAAGAACGAGAGAGUGAAUAUAGGGUUUAGGGUUAAAUUGGUUGCGCACUAGUACUGCUUGGUAUUGAAAAGGAUCAAGAACGAUGAAGUAGUUUCUCAACGAAGGCUGUUUGUUUAAGUAGGAAACAAGAUCAAUAAAAGUUGUGGAGCCCCAAAGGCUCUGAUACCAAACCAAGACAAAAGAACAAAAAGAUUAGAAUUUCGUGAAUUUUAUCUGUGGAUAAUUACACAGGCAGCACCUUUUAAUGCAACAAACACGCAGCACCCAGAUUUACAAGCGGCGGGUUGGCUUCCAAUAACUCCCUCCGCCACCACCAUUUUCAAUUAGAAAGAUUUUCUCCCAUCUUCAAGCUGUUGCUCACAAAAUUGAAAUCAAUUGCGGCGGUGGCCAUGUCUGUCGCAAUGGUUUCUUAUUGUUAAAAUUAUAUAUUAAUGAACACAAAAUGCAGAUAAAAAAAUAGAGAAUACUUAAUGAUCUGAGUCUUGACCAUUACCAGAAUAAUUUGACAUAAUUUUUAGUAUGUAACAGGGCGUUAACAGCAGAAGCUAAUUUGUUUUAGUUGUAUACGUGUCAAACUUUUAGCGAUGAAUAUCACCACUCAAAACUGCGAGCUGCUGCUACAGUAACGCCUAAUACCGCGGACACAUAUAUAGAAACGGCACCAAACUCUAGUUUGUUGCCCGGCGCGGUGAAAAUUUUCCAUCACUGAUGACGAUUGUCCCUUCAUUUAAUUAAGUGAUUGCUUGAAUAUGUCCGUCGAAUCAAGACAUUAUUGCACCACAAAUUGGCUCGUCCUAAUCAGAAACGUGCUCUUAAACUACUAAACAACUAAUAAAUACUCCAUAAGUCAGACAACGUGUAUCCAUUUCCAGUUACAUAGUACAUAAAAGGUCAAGUCGGAUUACAGGUAUCAAUUUAUACCCAAAAAAAUUGAUAAUUAAGCACGUUUUUUUUAGUACAUAAAAGGUCCUCAAUUUAUACCGAAAACCAUAGAUAAUUAAGCACGUUUUUUUUAGUACAUAAAAGGUCAAGUCAGAUUACAGGUAUCAAUUUAUACCGAAAAAAAUUGAUAAUUAAGCACGUUUUUUAAGUACAUAAAAGGUCAAGUCAGAUUACAGGAAUUUAGGAAGCAGAUUGUCUGCCCGGAUGCCAUUUUCAUCCUCUCCUAUUUGUACGAUCACGGUUAAAUUACGUCAACAUUUUAUAUUUUUAUUGUAUUUUGUCUUAUUAUCUCUAUAAAAAAAUUAAUAUAAAAUAUUAACAUAACUUAAUCGUGACCGCACAAAAUAGGAGGGGAUGAGAAGACCAUCCAAACAGAAGGGCAGACAAUCUGCCUCCAUCAAUUUAUACCAAAAAAAAGGGAUAAUUAAGCACGUUUUUGUUCUAUAUGGAUUGAAUAAUUCAUUCCGUAAGUAGCAAGCUUUAGGUGAAAAUGACAUCCAUUGGGCACCCAUUGCGCAACCUUGCAAUGUUUAAAAAGAGAACAAAAUUGUGGGGUUGUGUACUAUAGAAAAUUAGAUUGUCAUCUCUUAAUGAAAGUGUUAUUUCUAUUAAACUCAGAUAUUUGGCGAAAUAUUAAUUUACCAUAAAAAAAUUGAACAUCUCCCUUUACGCAAGAGAAAAGAAAAACUUACAUAACAUAGGUAUCAGAGUAGUAUUAUGCGUCAGUUAAACAAUGAUAUGUAGAAAAAAUUUACACGUAUUAUUACAUCACGUGGAAUGCUAAGGAAACUAAACUUGUAGACCAAAUUUUGUAAACUAACUGACAUAAAAAUAGAUGAUUGGAUUAGUGUUCAAGUAUUGAUUAACAUACUUAUUUUUGUAUUAAUAAUAGUUUGCAAAUUUAGUUUACUUAAUAUAGAGAUGACAGUGUAAUCAUGUGGGUUAAAUUCUUAUCGGGGACAAGGACAUGCAUUCACCUAAUUAUUUUUUCGAGUAGGGUAAUGUUUAAUUAGUUGUGGGAAAGUAGGUAGGAGAGAAAUAAAUACGUGUACAUAAGUAUAUUACUAUAAGUACAUUGUAUAUAUGCACAUACGUACCUACAUAAAUCCAAAAUCAGAAGAUCUUAAGUACAUUUGGAAUAUUUUUUUAUAAAUAAAGUAAAUUUGUGUUUGCAUCCUUUCAUACAAUAUGGGUUUUUUUUCACUAAGCCUGAGCGUAAUUUCCCCUUUCCACCCGAUCCAAAUUCCAAAAUAAGAAAAUGGAAUAUGUUUGAAUUUCUAAGAAAUACAAAUUCUCAUUAAACUUAGACAUAUACAAUCAUCUAACUUGAUGUUCACAGCAUAAACCAUUUGAUUUUUUCCUUAGCGUUUUGUUUUAAUUUUCUAGAUGUAUUGCAAAAAGAUAAGGGAGCCAAGAGCAGAGAGAACUGAUAAUAAAGUUUGUUUCAUGACUCAUUAGUACUUACUGAUCAGUAUAGCUAAACCUAUAUAUAUAUAUAUAUAUAUAUUGAUUGAAACAUUAUGCUAAUUUAGUCAAGAGUCACCUAUAUAGUUAAUGCAUGGUAUACAUAUUAUAAAUUAAAGGGAACUUUAACGAGAAGCUUCCGGUACUGUUCACUUUAACAAAAAACCACAUUUUUACAUUAAAAAGUCAAUCCUGGUACUAUUCACUUUACCUUUUAUUUUGUCCUUAUCAUUAAAACUCAAAAUUUUCAAACCCUUUUCAUUAGUUUUCCUUAAAUUUAAAUAGGCUCAAGCCUGCAACAUGCAUCUGGGAGAGAUUAUCAAUCACUGUUCAAUCUAUCAGCUGCCACCUUAAAUUAUAUGUACAGUGAUUGAUAAUCACUGUUCAAUCUAUCAGCUCAGAGAUCAAUCCACAAAUUAUAUGGGGGUGCAAUAUGCAUUGAAAAUAAACUCCUCUAUUCACUCGCACAUAUAAAUUAUAAAAUAAAGACUGAAAAUAAACACCUGGAUUUUGUUUGGUUCUUAAUCUUAAAACCAAAGCUAAUUUUGAUUUCUAAUAACGACUCACAACUGUGAAUUUAAUUCUUAACGGAUUAUCUAUCUGGGUACUAAUAGUUAACAACAAUGCAUGUGUAUUUUGUAUGGUUGAACUCACUUCCCGGGGGAACUUACAACAGAUAUGCAGGCAAUAUAUAUGGGAUGUUUCUUUUCAGGUUAAUUUUUAUAGAUAACAUAAAAGAUGUAGACACUGAUUCAUCUCCAAUUGACGAUAAGUCAUCAGUUCGAUCUAUUUACUCAUCGAAAAACUGGCAAAUGUAUAUAUGUUUUCUGACCAACAGAGAGAUAAUAAAUUUAAAUUUGAGACUUCUCAUAUCACAAGAUUAAGAGCUAGUUAUUAAUUACUUUUCCAAAUUGGUAAAAUCUCCAGGGAAAAGUUACUAUAUAUGUGUACUGCUUCAGGUAUCAGUAGUAAAAUAACGACAUGCAUGAAAGGCGUAAAUUAACGACGUCGGUCUUGCAGAAAACUUCAGAUAGAAGCAUUCGCCGAAAAACUCCCACUUAUUUGGACCAAGUAAAGGGAACAACACAUUAAUUACACAACUAUGCCCUAGUUUUUUAAUAAUUGAUAUCAAGGUUUUUCUCCCUCAAUAUUUGCAGUUUUUGCCCACACGUUUUAGCCUAUAUAAACACCCAUAACUUUGUGGUGUAUAUACACUUGAGCUCAUUAAUAAGAAAUAAGAAAUGGCAUCACUAUCGCAGCUCCCAGCAGGCUCUGGAAGCUCUAAUUCGCUACUCAGCGUCAUAGAGACCGCCAAAGAGCCCUUAACUUCAGUCCCACAAUGUUACGUUCGUUUGCAACAAGAACCAACUCCAUCUGAACUCUCUGAUGAUAAUAAGGGCACCUUCCGUUCUAUCCCUACCAUUGACAUGACUAAAUUAGUUAAGGGAGAAACCUCAGACUUUGCAAAUCAACUGGAGAAACUGCACUCAGCUUGCAAAGAUUUGGGCAUUUUUCAGGUCUAAUAUUGAUCUUUCAAAUUUCUUGGACUUAAAUACUUUUUCUUAACAUAGACACUAGUACUCCACUUAAAUAUUAUAUAUCUCCUCAUCAAGACAAGCUAUAGUAGGUUUUCAUGAAUUUAAUAUCCGAUGAACUAAUAAAAUGGAAUUAAGAUUUCAUAGUUAUCAUAGCUAGUUAGAUAUAUUGUCUUGUUUUAUAGGGCUUUAAUUAUUUUUCUUUCUAUUUCUAAUUUCUAGAUUAAUUUUUUGUUAUUGUGCAAACGAAUUUUAAUUUAUUAUAUAUAUGUCUACAUAAUUUAUCAAACUAAAGUUGGAGAAAACUCAUAACCUUGAUGUUGUCCUGUUUUUUUUUUUUUUUUCUUGCAGUUGGUGAACCAUGGAGUUAACCCUAUGCUGUUAGAGAAUCUGGAACAUGAGAUUGAAGUAUUCUUUAAGCUUCCCUUGGAAGAGAAAAUGAAAUAUGCAAUAAGGUCAGGUGAUGUUGAAGGCUAUGGAAACAUAGCCAAGACCAAAGACCAAAAGCUUGACUGGGGUGAUAGGUUCUAUAUGAUAACCAACCCUAUUCAUCGAAGAAAGCCGUACCUCUUCGCAGAGCUCCCUUCAUCCAUCAGGUCCUCUCUCUCAUAAAUCUUAAGAGCCCAUUUGAUAACAAAAUGAAACAAAAGCUGAAAACUUAAAUGAAGAUGAUUAUGAAAUGGCACCUAAACUUGUAUACAAUUGUUCUCUUACACAUUCAAACACACAUGCACCCAGUUUUUCUAAAUUUUUAUUGAAUUUGACAUGUUUUCUUGGUAUAUGCUAGGAAUACCUUGGAGUCAUACUUUAUGGAAUUGGACCAACUUGCCAUGAGACUUCUUGGGUUUAUGGUGAAAGCUCUGAAGACAGAUAUGAGAGAGAUAGAGGAGUUGUUUGAUACAGACGGGAUGCAAUCAGUGAGGAUGACAUACUAUCCUCCAUGUCCACAACCAGAGCUGGUUGUAGGGCUCUCACCUCACUCAGAUGUAUGUGGGAUCACCAUCCUCAACCAGCUUAAUGGAGUUGACGGUCUCCAAAUUAAAAAAGACGGGGCUUGGAUGCCUGUCAACUUCCAAAAAGAUGCCUUUGUGGUGAAUGUCGGGGACAUUUUUGAGGUUUGUCCUGUAUAUACUUCUUUCCUCGCACUUCUUUUCUGGGCUAUAUUCGACCAUAAAGUAGAAAAAAAAAAGAUAAUAAAUGAAAGAGAAAAAGACUACUAGGUUAGCAAACGUGGGAUUUCGAAUCUCUAUAUAUUAGUAUGUGGGAAUAUUUGAAAUGAAAUUGUUCAGUACUGUACAAGCACUAGGUGCGGACAAUAAUUAACUGUCGCAUUUGAUUUCAAUGAUUUAACUGAAGAAUGAUUGUUAGACCAAAUUUAACGAUUAAAUAGGUGACACUAAAUAUAUAAAUAAUAAACAACAUUAGUAAAAUUGAGGCAUAAAUUAGAAAAUUAAUACUAAUUUAUUCCUCACUAUUAGUGUGCGGGACAGGCAACUAAUACUACUUAAGUGAAACGGUGCGUAUUGCUUUGUCAGUAUUAUUGGAUUGGGCUGUAGGAUGAACAAACAACGCUGUAGAAAAUUGGUUAAUGUAAGAAGAAUGAACAAACAACGCUGUGGAAAAUUGGUUAGUAUUAAGAAAAAUGCUAAGUAGAUUAUGUUUUUAGAUCAUAUUUUGUGGAUCACAUGAUGUGACGGUUGAUAAUUAGAUUUAUUCUUCCACAUCAUGUGAUCUACAAAAUAUAGUUUAAGUAAACGAUCUUUCUAGUAUCACUUAAAUGUUAAUGGGUUGAGACUGUUGAGUUCGAUCAUUUAACAAUAAAUUAAAAACUUGAAUCUAUCAUAUUAGUACAACACUUGGCUUCACAUCACAGCUUGAGUCCUUGUUCUUGCAAUGAUAACGAGUAAUCGUUUCACAUUGUCACUGGAGAAGGAAUGAUCUUUUAUAUGUAAAGAGUCAAAUCAAUUCAUUCAUUUUAUUAUAUGUGUAUUUAUAUGGUAAUACUAUACCUUAGAUCAUGGCAUAUAUGGGGACAUACCAAUAUUAAGGAAAUUUUAUAUUACAUUUGCAGAUGCUGAGCAACGGAGUUUACAAAAGCAUUGAACACAGGGCAAUGGUGAAUUCAGAGAAAGAAAGGGUGUCGGUUGCGAUGUUCUUCAGCCCUAAAUUUGAGGCAGAGAUUGGGCCACUCAGAAGCUUGAUAACCCCAGAAAACCCACCACUGUUCCAAGGGGUUGGGAUGGAAAAGUACGUCAACGAUUUCUUCUCCCGCCUUAGGCUUGACGGGAAAUCGUACUUGGAGCAAAUGAAAAUCUAAAAUGCUUGAUUAAGGACUGAUCGAUCGCUUAUUCGAUCAAUGAGCCGUUAAUCAGGAUAUAUAGUACUAUAUGGUGUGACAAUAAUUAAAGUUGUGCAUAUAUAUAUACUGUAUAUGCAUAUGCUUUUCCAAAUGUGUGGAUUCUGGAAACUGGGAAUGAAUCAAUAUAUACUGUAUAUGCAUAUGCUUUUCCAAAUGUGUGGAUUCUGGAAACUGGGAAUGAAUUAUACUCCUAUGAAAUAAGGCGUUCCUUGUAUAUAGCAGCAAGAAAGCCAGCUUCUAUUUGGUAUGUUGUGUAUCCUAUAUAGUAAAGUGAGAAAGGAAAUAAAAUGUGUGGUUGUUUUAAUAAAGUGAUGAUUAUUGUGUUAUAUAUCGUUUUAUAUCUUAUAAAAUUCCCUGAUUAUUUAUACACAGUUAUGUCUUACAAAACGAAAUAAUUCUUGAAGAAGUUUUUGAAUUCCAACUUGACAUGAAUCAUGUUUUCGAUCGUGUUAGGGUGAGUUUGGUACGAUUUCAUAAGAGUGUUCUUAGUUUGUGUUGAUGCACAAAAUCAGUGAAGAUUUUGGUACAACAGAAAGUGUUAAGUUUGUGACAUUCGCUAGAUUGCUCCGGUCACUAGUGUGGAUAAGUAUGUAAAUGAAUGGAGAUAGGGAAACAAACACAAGAUGUACGUGGUUCACCCAGAUUGGCUAUGUCCACGGAGUAGAGGAGUUCUCAUUAGGGUUUACACAAAUACAUAGGUUCAAGCUCUCCUUUUGUGAGUACUAGUGAAUAAUUUAGUACAAAUGACAUUAGGGAUUAUUGUGGAAGAAUGAUCUCCUUUUAUAAAAGAGAGUUUCUAGCUUUGUUCUGGCCUUGACACAUGUCAUGCUGUGAUUGACCUUUGAUGUUGACACGUGUCGCUUUGUGAUUGGCCCAUUGAUAUUGAAACGCGUUGCACUGUGAUUGGCCUUUUGGUUGGAGGAAAACUCUUCUGGGUCCUUGACGGUAUAACGUUGACCGGUGCUUGGUAGUUUCGAGAUUGGUCAAGUAUGGUACAAAUAAUGCUCCCCUAAGUAGAUGUGGCAUCUUCUGGGUCCUUGUGGUAUCGUUUUCACUUGCCUUAUCUGUCUCAUAAGUAGAUGUGGCAUCUUCUCUGGAAAUACUUUUCCUCCAUCCAGGGAUGGUAUCUUUAAACGAUGGAGAUGCACAAGGUAAUGUAAUGUAUCAAUUUCACUUGAAGCUUACUUGUAGUUUCGGGCUUGGUCAAGCGCGAUACAAACCCUAUAGUAGUAGUCUUCCAAGUCUCUGAGCGAGGAGAUCUGUCGAAAGAGGUGACAUACAAAGUAAGCAAUCAGAGUUUCAACAGUCAGUCUUAGAUCGAAAGUUUGAUCUCGUGUUCCAGUUGAUUGUUCUCCUUCUCCUUGUUCUGUAGACAUCAACAAGGACAAAGAAAAGGAUAUAGAGAAGAGAUGAUAUGAGAUAUUUUUGCUUUUGAAGAAGUAACUUUCCACAGGCUUAUUCUUGAACUGGGCUGAAGGGUUUUCUAGUUUCCUCCAGAGUAUAAUGCUGACUCAAGAAUUUGAAGGUCAAAACAAGUCUAUCAAAUCAAGAGUGUGUUCGACCUUGAUGAUAUGGGAUAUUUUUUUUGUUGACAAAGUAAUAGAUGAAUCGGCACGUGUUAUAUUGCGCUUGUCUCCACAUGCUUCCUUGUAUUCUUCUCACUUGCCCUAUCUGUUCCUCAUGCAGAUGUGGUAUCUUUUCUAAAAGCAUAAGAUGUUAAAGAUAAAUACUCGAGAGCAAUGCCAGGUAAGUAAUUAGGCAAGGAGUUCCUAACUGGAAGCUUGAUUCCAAGUGCUGAUUGAUUGCUCUCUUUCUCUUUGUCUUACAGGUAAGAACAAUGGCAAAGGAAAAGACAGGGAAAAACAUGAUAUGGGAUACUCUUGCUUUUAACCUUGAUGAUAUGAGAUGUUCUUGCUCUGGUGUGGCUUGUUUGCAGAGGUAUUAUUGGGGGGAAAAGAAGUUGAGUAUUUUGAGAGACUAUGCUAAGAGUGCCCUUUCGGAUGUGAAGAAAAGUUGAGCAUUUUUUUUAUUUGCAGGUCUGCCUGGCUAUAGAGGAUGAAUGUCGACAUAUAUAAGAAUUGUCCUAACAGCCUGUAGUAACGUUGUUCCUUUACCCUUCUCGAUCAUAGCAAUAUAGUGGGAGCUGCAAGAUUCACAUGUUUUAACUUUGUCAGAGCACUUUGAAAAAGUGGUCUGUGGUAUCUAAAAAACUGAUGUUGCGUGUGAAGAUUUCAUACAAGCUUUAUCCAAGGAAAUCUAGCUCUCGAAGUUUGGAGAGCGGUGCCUCUUCGAUUUUCGAACAAGCAAUCUUGUCGGGGAUCUGGCUCUCGAGAUUCGGAGAACAGUGCCUUUUCAAUUUUUGAGAAAGCAAUCAUGUUGGGAGUCUGGCUUUCGAGAUUCGGAGAGCAGUGCCUCUUCGAUUUUUGAGAAAGCAAUCCUGUUGGGAGUCUUGACUUUCGAGAUUUGGAGAGCGAUGCUUCUUAGAUUUUUUAGAAAGUAAUCAUGUUGGGAGUCUGGUUCUCGAGAUUCGAAGAGCGAUGCCUCUUCCAUUUUUGAGCAAGUAAUCCUGUUGGGAGUCUGGCUCUCGAGAUUCAGAGAGCGGUGCUUCUUCGAUUUUUGAGCAAGUAAUCCUAUUGGGAGUGUUUUCUCGAAUGUGAGUAAAUGUUGGGCAUUUUUGCCAGUCUGCUUUGCCACUGAUCACGAAGGUUGACACACAUAGGGACUUUCCAGUUAUUAAGCAGUGAUGCUGUUCCUUUACCCACGUGGGUAAUAGUAGGGUAGUUGGACCUUCAAAAUUUAUGUGCCUAAAUUUUGUCAGAGAUCUUUGGCAAAGUUAUUUGUGGUACCUGAGAAGCUGAUGUUACGUGUGGAGAUUGUCGACAAAUUUUACUCAGGAAAAUCUAUUUCUCGAAGUCCGAAGAGUGGUGCCUCUUCGAUUUUUGAACUAACGGUCAUGUUGCCCUUUCUUUUAUAGGGCACCAAUUGUGUGCAAGAAGUACGUUCAGAGAGUUAUUGCUUGUAGGAAUUUUCCCCUUAUUUUUAUAAUUCACAGAUUUAUUGGACUUCAUUUCUCCUUCAUCAUUUCUGAAAAUGUCUGGCCCAUCUGAUCGUCGUUUUGACUUGAACUUUGAUGAAGAGGCAGUCAUGCCUCCUCAAGACAACAUAUGACGCCCAUCCUUCUUAUCCCUUACUGGUCAUCUUACCGUUGAGGACUCUGUAAUGAAGAAUGAUAUGAUUGUUGCGGUGGUGGCUAGGAACCUUCUCAUUCCCAAAGAUAACAGACUACUUUCAAAACGGUCUGAUGAGUUGGCUGUUAAGGAUUCUCUUGCUCUCAGUGUUUAUUGUGCAGGUUCUAUGUCUAAUAUGACCUAACGCUUAUUUGCUCGAACCCGUCAAGUUGAAUCAUUGGCGGCUGAAGUGAUAAUUCUCAAACAGGAGAUCAGAUGGCUCAAGCAUGAGAAUAAACAGUUGCAUAGGCUAGCACAUAACUAUGCUACAAACAUGAAGAUGAAGCUUGACCAGCUGCAGGAAUCUGAUGGUCAGAUUUUACUUAAUCAUCAGAGGUUUGUGGGUUUGUUCUAAAGGCAUUUAUUGCCUUCAUCUUCUGGGGCUGUACUGCAUAAUGAAGCUCCAAAUGAUCAACCUUCGGUGCCUCCUCCUUCUGGGGUUCUGCCUAGUACUGAGACUCCUAAUGAUCACCCUCCGGUGCCUCAUCUUUCUGGGGCUCUGCCGACUGCGGAGACUUCUCCUGAGCAACCUUUGUGAAGGCUCUAUCUUGUUUGUUUAUUUUGAUUCAUGUUUAUGUACAUAUUUGUAACUUAUCGGAGGUAUCAAUAAAUAAGCUUUACUUCAUUUCAACGUAUUGUGUUAAAUAUACCAAGGUCUCCCUCACUAAGUUCUUUGAUUUUUUUUCUUUUGUUGAAGCUUGUAUGUUGAAACUUUAUGAGUGAAGUAUGUAGGUUGAGGUAAUGCUCCCUUAAUUUCCCGAGUAAGGAAAACUUUUCGGUUGGAAACUUGAAAAAUUCAAGUCACUGAGUAGUCGUGAAACUUCCAAAUACCGAGGUGUAGUAGCAUAUGGUAGAAGUCCCCCACGUCUUCGGUCAAGGGAGUUGAUAAAGGAUGUGUCUUGCUAGUAGUCAAGUUUCCAAAGUAAUAAAAUUUCACCAUUUUCCUUUCUAAGUGGUAGCCCAAAACUCCUCAUUCAUAUAUAUUUGUUAUGAAAGUUGUUAGGCCUAAAGAAGAUGAGGCCUAGGCCUUUAUAGGUGAAGCUUUGUAGGUGAAACUUUGGUGUUAAAGCUUUGUAGGUGAAGAUUUAAGGUUGAAGUUUUGUUGGGUACCAUGAAUUGAUUUUGCUUCACACUAUCUUGAUCAAGAAUGUGAAGCUUUUGGCAUUUGUAGUUGAAGCUUUGUAGGUCAAGCUUUUGUGUUGAAGCUUUGUAGGUGAAGCUUUGUAGGUGAAGCUUUGAAGUUGAAGCUUUUGUAGGUGAAGCUUUUGUAGGUGAAGAUUUUGUAGGUGAAGCUUUGUAGGUGAAGAUUUUGUAGGUGAAGCUUUGUAGGUGAAGCUUUGGAGUUGAAGCUUUUGUAGGUGAAGCUUUGAAGUUGAAGUUUUUGUAGGUGAAGCUUUGGAGUUGAAACUUUGUAGGUGAAGCUUUGGAGUUGAAGUUUUGUAGGUGAAGCUUUGGAGUUGAAGUUUUGUAGGUGAAGCUUUGGUGUUGAAGUUUUGUAGGUGAAGCUUUUGUGUUGAAACUUUUGUAGGUGAAGUUUUGGAGGUGAAGCUUUGUAGGUGAAGCUUUUGUGUUGAAGCUUUGUAGGUGAAGCUUUGUAUGUAAAGCUUUGGAGUUGAAGCUUUUGUAGGUGAAACUUUUGUAGGUGAAGCUUUGGAGUUGAAGUUUUUGUAGGUGAAGCUUUUGUAGGUGAAACUUUUGUAGGUGAAACUUUGUAGGUGAAGCUUUGGAGUUGAAGCUUUUGUAGGUGAAGCUUUGGAGUUGAAGCUUUUGUUGGGUACCAUGAAUUGAUUUUGCCUCACACUAUCUUGAUUAAAAGUGUGUGAAGCUUUUGAGAAUUGUAGUUGCCCUCCAUUUGUUGAAGCUUUUGUAGUAAAGAUUUUGUAGGUGAAGCUUUGAGGUUGAAACUUUGUUGGGUACUAUGAAUUGAUUUUGUUUCACACUAUCUUGAUAAAAAAUGUGUGAAGUUUUUUAGAAUUGUAGUUGCCCUCCAUUUGUUGAAGCUGUUGUGGUGAAGUUUUGGUGUUGAAGCUUUAUAGGUAAAGCUUUGAGGUUGAAGCUUUGUUGGGUACCAUGAAUUGAUUUUGCUUCACACUAUCUUGAUCAAGAGUGUGUGAAACUUUUAAGAAUUGUAGUUGCCCUCCAUUUGUUGAAGUUGUUGAAUUUCCCAAUUUCCCAAUUUGAAGCUUCAAUUGUAGUUGCCCUCCAAUUGUUGAAGUUAUUGAAAAUGUGGGAAAGACAACAUAUACAAAUUUUGCUUCCACACUAUUGAGCAAAAGAUUGUGCUGUAAAUCACACCUUAUAGUAGUCGAAGGUUUGGAUGAACCAUAUAAAUUGAAUUUGCUUCGAACAGUUGUGAUCAAGAGUGUAUGAAGCUUUCUACGAGUUGUAGUGUUUGUAUUGUUGCAGAGGAAAAAUCUCUGAAGCAGAUGUAAGAGGGCUGAAGAGCUUAAUCUUCGUAUACCAUGCACUGAAGCCGUUGUUGGCUUGUAAUAAGACUUUGUUGGUGACUAUAACUCUUGUUAGGCAUAAGUGUUCCCCUAGUUGAGUUGUAAAGUUUAAGGGUUUUUUUAUUAUUUGUGAAUGCUAAGAGUUCACAUGUACAAGUUGUACCACUCGUCUUCUGGUUGGUGGAAUGAAUGGUGAGUUGCUUUCAUCACUUGGUUGGUGGUAUGAAUGUGAGAUCCUUCAUCACCUUUCAUCACAUUUCAUCACCUGGUUGGUGGCACGAAGAUGAGUUCCUUCUUCACCUGGUUGGUGGCACGAAGAUGAGUUCUUUCUUCACCUGGUUGGUGGCAUGAGUGGCAAGUUCCCAAAUGAUAUUAGAGUACGGGUUGUACAUUUCAUCACCUGGUUGGUGACAUGAAGGAAAGUAUGGGUUGUACAUUUCAUCACCUGAUUAGUGGCAUGAAGAUAAGUUCAUUCCUCACCUGGUUAGUGGCAUGAGUGGCAAGCUGCCAAAUGAUAUUAGAAUACGAGUUGUACAUUUCAUCACCUGGUUGGUGGCAUGAAUGAGAGUACGGGUUGUACAUUUCAUCACCUGGUUGGUGGCAUAAAGAUGAGUUCAUUCUUUACAUUUCAUCACUUGGUUGGUGAGAAUAAGGGCAAGGUGUCGAGGCACAUUGUAGCAAGUGUUGAAUGACACAAAGUAUGUUGAACCCUUUCGAAGCACAGUUGCCUUAUGUGUGGAUGUGUUGGAAUGUAUGAUGUUUAUGUAUGAAUGUGUUAGAAUGUAUGAUGUUUAUGUUGAUUGACAUGAGUGAUGCUUAUGAAUGUUUUGUUAUGCAUGAAGGGAUCCAUGCUUUCGAUAUGUGAACCAUGUUGGUUGUAACACUUAAUAUCAUAUACUUUAUGUCAAAGUACGCAUGUUGAAGCUCUGAAUUGGGGUAUAGGGGUAGGUCAGUGUAGACCAAGUGUUCCAGUGCUAGGAAUGCAAAAGACUCAGAAGAAGUUGUCUGAAUUUCUUCUUCUUUAAAUAUUUGUCGAAUGACUUGUGUGACAAAAGAUCUCAAGCGGUUGAGAGUCAAAACAUUUGUAAUAUGUAUGCCUUCUUAUAAUAUCAUUUCCUUUAGUACCUAGUCCUCCACUUUGAAAGAGUGAAGCUUGGCCUCAUAGUCAUAAUAGUUGAUAAUACGUUCACCCUUGAUUGUCUUGAUACGAACUUUUAUCCCGCUUGUUGUAAUGGGCUUGCUGAGAGUAAAAAUCAUUCCUAUUACCAAGAGUCAAAUACAUUUGGUGACUUAGCGAGUAGCUAAAUGAGGCAGAAGAUGAUGCAGUGGGUGUCUGAAUGGCCAAUAUCUCCUCACUUAGUAGAACUUGACUUCCACUUCCCACUUGUUGAUAGGGGUUAACCAUAUGAGGGUUCCCUUAGUAUGUCCUUACUUCGUCGAAUGCGUGGUUAUAAGCAUGUGCCAUCACCUCAGAGUAAGUCUUCCAAGUGUUGGCAUUUAUCAUGUGCUUGAAGAAACAAUCACGUAGGCCUGCCGUGAAGGCUUUGAGUGCGGUCUUGUCAUUUGCCUCAGCGCAGCGAGAAUACUCAUGGCUGAAUCGACCGGCAUACUAUCGUAGUGACUCGUAUGGCUUCUGGUGAAUAAUGUACAAGUCAUCUGCAGAAUGUAAGUGAUCGGUCUGGAAGAUGUGUCUCGGGUGGAAAACGAUAAUACCAGUUUAGAGCUCCGCCAGAGAGGGUGGAAGGGAAGAGAAGACAUCGGUUUUCGUCGGUGUGCAUCUGAUAUGCCAUGGUGGACUCAAAGAGGUUAAGGUGUUCAAUCGGGUCCUCUAUUCCAGUAUAGAGUUGUAAACCAAGCUUUUGUUUUAUCUUCGCUUAAAGGGGGUGUCGAGGAUCCUCCUUGUGAGAGGGCCAGGCCUGGGUUGGUUCCAGUCAGGUAUCUCGACCUGAUGUUCGGCCUCAACUUGUUUACUUCCUCAAGGAGUUGUAGGAUAAAUGGGUCCUGAGUGAAGUCAUGUACCACUGGAAUUUUCUUCCGUAAGUCUCCAUCGUCUCUCGGAAGUAGGAAAGUUUGAGCAAGAGAAUGUGAUUUUUCCUUGGACUCGCCGUACUGACUUCUAGGGCGAAUCUGUCGGAAUACCUCCAAGCCCCAUGUACCUUCAUAUUCCUCUAGGACUUGUCGUUCCUUCCUUAGAUGGGCAGCUGGCCUGGGUUGUGAGAGGGAACUGAGUUUUUCAGAAACCCUUGGAUAAUUGAUCUUCGAGCUUAUAUGGAAGGGAUUCUCUUGACGUUGCUUUAGAAAGUCUCGGCAGUUACGAUAAAGGGCUUUCGAUCCUUCCAACCCUUCUGCAAGGAGGAUCUUCCUCAACUUUUCCUGCUUCGGGUCGAAGCAGUUGGGUUGAGAGAAGUCUCAUGUUGAUCAAUGUUUUGAUGAUUAGCUCGCUUCUCAUCAGGGAUACCUAUGUCGAAGGAAGGUGACCCUUCGUGUUAAGGGCACCCAAAUGAUGGUUGAUGUCCACAGGGGCAACAAGCUUGCGUGUUUGAGUACGCCUAGUUUCGUGGAACGUUUCGAAGAGCUUUUCAUAUUGUUCUUGGAGGAACUCAUUCUUUAUUGCUAUCUUGUUGUUUUAAGCCUUCAGCUUAUCGACUUUAGCUUGAAGAACGAGCUUAUUUCAUUCCUUCUUUCGUUGCUUCGCACUAGGUGCAAGAUGAGUAUCAUAUUGUGUGCCGUGGCUUCCUCUGCUCCCCAUGUUGGAGAGGGAUGCCUGGUCAAAAGAGAGUGUACGAAUGAUGGAAACCAGCUUGACAAAGCUGAAGAGAGUAGGAAUAACUGUCGUUCCCACAGAUGGCGCCAAAUGUUGAUGCACAAAAUCAGUGAGGACUUUGGUACAACAGAAAGUGUUAAGUUUGUGACAUUCGCUAGAUUUCUCCGGUCACUAAUGUGGAGAAGUAUGUAAAUGGAUAGAGACAGGAAAGCAAACAGAAGAUGUACGUGGUUUACCCAGAUUGGCUACGUCCAUGGAGUAGAGGAGUUCUCAUUAGGGUUUACACAAGUACAUAGGUUUAAGCUCUCAUUUUGUGAGUACUAGUGAAUGAUUUAGUACAAAUGACAUUAGGGAUUAUUGUGGGAGAAUGAUCUCCUUUUAUAUAAGAGAGUUUCUAGCUUUGUUCUGGCCUUGACAUGUGUCAUGCUGUGAUUGGCCUUUGAUGUUGACACGUGUCGCCCUGUGAUUGGUCCCUUGGUGUUGAAACGUGUUGCUUUGUGAUUGGCCUCCUGAUUGGAGGGAAACUCUUCUGGGUCUUUGACGGUAUAACGUUAACCGGUGCUUGGUAGUUUUGGGAUUGAUCAAGUAUGGUACAAACAGUUUGUUAUUCUCACCUGCAUAAUUUCUCAUCCACCUGUAAAUAAAAAUAUUAAUGUCAAUUCAUGCUGUUGAGAGUAUCCCCUUUUGUGGGUUACAUCUAUAUAUGUCCAAGUUUAUAUUGCAUGGCCUUAUUUUUUUACAGCGCCAAGGGAGAUGCCAAAGUUGCCAACUUGUUUCGAAGAAACAGAAGAAUGAAAGAGCUAAAAAAACAAAUCCACAACUCCUGGGAAAACCAGAGGUGAAUAUUCGACGUCGUUGCAAACUUGCAAUAUUCAGUUUCUUUAUUGUAUUUUUGUACAAUAUCCAACAUCAUGUGCAAUAUCCGCUAACCCUAUCUUGGCAAUGUGUUCAAUGAGUGUUUUCUGCACACCUGGGUUUGAAAUUUCAUCAUGUUUGAUAUGGUGCUAGUAUUUCUAUUUAUACAGGUACAGGUAAUUAGUGCAGUAUAUAUCUUCUCAGGGAUAAAUUUCUUAUCAAAUGUCUGAACUAGGGUUGUACAGAAUCAUGAGCUUGUAGACAGUUAAUUUUCAGAUUUAUUUUCCUUGCAAGUUGAGUGUGUGAUUUGAGUUGGCAGUGUGAAUCCCACAUCGGAGAUUUAAAGAAAUUUGCAUGUGCUUAUAAGGGGUGGGUUAGUUCUCCUAUUGCCAAUUAGUUUGACGAUGAAACUUCUACUUCUCGUACAUUAUCUGAUGUUAUCCACAUGCGCUCACAUCACCACGUCACCCAAUAUGGUUGUGCACGUUUUAGGCUUAAAUAUGACAAAAUAUGAUUCUUAUACGUAACCUACAAAAAGGAAGAUUUAAACAUGAGAGCUCAAGUGCAUAAGCGUAUGCUCUUAAGUCACCAAUUGAGCUACAAGGCACGUGCAACCUGCAACAUCUAAUUCACUUUUAAAAUUGAAAUGGUUGAUGUGUGGGAUUAAAUUAUUCUAUCAACUUCAAAAUUGCCCCCAUUCCAUGAUGCCACUUGUUUUUCUUAUAAAUAACACAACACAUGGAAUGCAUAUUGAACAUUGGUGAGAAGUAAGAUUAAAAUCAUAUCAAAGAUCGAUCCGCGCCAGCAAAUACAUGCGCUACGGCUACAUGCAUCAAGAAGUGAACAAUUAUAACUUGCGUGAACAGCCCGAAGAGAGCAAACGUUAGACAGAAGUUACUCUGCAUGCGAGUAUAGAAUGCUGUUGCAGUUUGGAAAGCACCGAGGACUACCAAAGAACAGUACUAUACACAUC
rnacentral:lncRNA from 1 species